rnacentral:rRNA from 1 species
UCAUGGGCGCAGGCCUGAACCAGCCAAGUAGCGUGAAGGAUGACUGCCCUANCNGGUUGUAAACUUCUUUUAUAAAGGAAUAAAGUCGGGUAUGUAUACCCGUUUGCAUGUACUUUAUGAAUAAGGAUCGGCUAACUCCGUGCCAGCAGCCGCGGUAAUACGGAGGAUCCGAGCGUUAUCCGGAUUUAUUGGGUUUAAAGGGAGCGUAGAUGGAUGUUUAAGUCAGUUGUGAAAGUUUGCGGCUCAACCGUAAAAUUGCAGUUGAUACUGGAUAUCUUGAGUGCAGUUGAGGCAGGCGGAAUUCGUGGUGUAGCGGUGAAAUGCUUAGAUAUCACGAAGAACUCCGAUUGCGAAGGCAGCCUGCUAAGCUGCAACUGACAUUGAGGCUCGAAAGUGUGGGUAUCAAACAGGAUUAGAUACCCUGUAGUCCAAGGGCGAAUUC